GCUGGAUUCGCUAGUAAUCGCGCAUCAGCCACGGCGCGGUGAAUACGUUCCCGGGCCUUGUACACACCGCCCGUCAAGCCAUGGAAGCCGGGGGUGCCUGAAGUGCGCUGCCGCAAGGAGCGCCCUAGGGUAAAACCGGUGACUGGGGCUAAGUCGUAACAAGGUACC
rnacentral:rRNA from 1 species